GUGCUCACUUCGGCAGCGCAUAUACUAAAAUUAGAACCAUACAGAGAAGAUUAGCAUGGCCCCUGCAUAAGGAUGAUACGCAUAUUCAUGAAGUGUUCCAUAUUCUU